GUAAAAAUAUUUUCAAAAUUGGAUCGAUGGUUAAAUCAAUUAGACUAUUUAUUCGCUAGUUUGACCAAUAUUAUCGGUUCAAUUAAAUAAAUUAUAAAAAAAUUAUAAAAAUUAAAAAAUCAGUUCGACCAUUAGUUUUUAGCCCGUUUCGGAAUGGUUAAUGGGUUAACCAAAUUGACGUCUCUUUUAAAAUCACGUUUCAGUUUUCAGUCCAAAUUGAUUAGAUUGGUCUAAUUUAAUUCAUAACAUAGUCUAGGCAACACUAUUGUUUUGGGAAUCAUCAACAUGUUUCCAGCUUGAAAGAGGCAAGAAAAACUCUAUUUUGUUCAAUACCCAAUAGUGCAACAAAUCAUGGCCUACAAAAGUCCAAACGAAGUUAAAACCAUAAACCAAGGAACGAAAAUCAAAUGCGACUGCAGUUAAAUAGGUGUCCCAAGCAGUACAGUAUCUGUUCUUACACUGGAACAAGUAUCCACAAGAACCCAUUACGAGUGCUGUAUUUGUUUUAUGUAUUGAUGCUAUCGGUGCGAAUCAUGUAUAUUUUUUUCUACAACUCAUGACCCUUAACCUUUAAAUAGAAUAUUUAAUUCAUAUCUCGAUUGUUGCAACAAUAAUAAAUCAACUAAAUUAGGAGUUAAUUGGUAAUUAUAUACGUUUGAUAUUAAUAUAUUAUUUUAAAUUUAUUAAUAUUUAAGUUUUUAUUAUAAGUAUAUAAUAAAUAUUUGCAAAUACCAAACAAGUGAUAUUGAUAAAGUUAUAAAUAUGAAAUACUUAUCAAUCAUAUAUAUAAUCUGUAUUAAUAAAGUAGAAGUUAUCCCAUAAAAUUGCAGCCACAAUUUGAGAGAAAUGAACUCUGUUUCUUUGCCAAAACUUGC
rnacentral:lncRNA from 1 species